rnacentral:tRNA from 1 species
CAGAUAGAGACUGAAUGGUUAAGUGCUCCAAUUGGGCUGGAGACCAAGUUAGUUCGAUUCUAGCCUAUUUGA